GCAAUUCAAUAUAAUUUGAUUAGUGGUUAGAAGUCUUUAUAUUUUUUAUAAUUUUGAUUAAAAAAUCAUUUAUUGGGUUAUUGUAUUAGUUAAAAAUUUAAUUGAUUGAUAAGGUUAGUACUGUAAAGGAAUUAUUAUUGAUUUAUUAUGGGACAAGUUGUAUUGAUUUUACGUACCUUGUGUAUCAGGGCUUAUUAAAUAGUAUAUAUUUAUUUAUUAUUCUCGAUUUUUUUGGAGUUAAUAAUUUAUAUUCAUUAUUGUAUCACAAUUAUGGGAAAUAAAUUGUUAGUGGUGAAAUGUCAUUCGUCGAGAAGGGUAUCUAGUUUCUUGGGAAAUUAAUUUAAUUAAGAUUUUCUUUCUAAUUCUUUUAAUUAAUAGGGCACUUUAAGGGAAAAUUAAUAGUAAAAGGGAUGAGCUUUUUAUUAAAGAUUUAAAAGGUAAAAUGAUCAAUAUGUUUUAUGGGUUUAGAAUUGACUAAUAAUUGAAGUAUGUUAAAAUUUUAUGUAAUGAUAAAUUUGAUUUAUUAGCCUUUAAUAUUUUACUAGGAUAUAUUAACAAUUUUUGGAAUAGUAUUCAUAAUGAUAAGAUUAGUAAAGUGUAAUUAAGGAAUAUGUAUGUAUUGGUGAAUUGAGGUGAGGAAUUCAGCAAUAGCUUAUUCGCCUGUUUAACAAAAACAUCUCUUCUUGAAUUAAUUAGGAAGUAUGACCUGCCCAAUGAGUAGCAUUAAAUGGCCGCGGUACCUUGACCGUGCAAAGGUAGCAUAAUCAUUAGUCUUUUAAUUGAAGGCUGGAAUGAAUGGUUGGACGAGAUAAGAACUCUCUUAUUUUUAGUAUAUUGAAUUUAAUUAUUGAGUUAAAAAGCUUAAAUUUUUUUAUGGGACGAGAAGACCCUAUAGAGUUUAAUAAUUAUAAGCUAGUACAGAUGGGUGAUAGGAUUACUGGUUAAUAAUUAUUUUGUUGGGGUGAUGGAAAGAUAAGUGUAACUCUUUUUCUAUUAUAAAUAUUGAUCUAUAAGUUUCUGAUCCAUUAUUAGUGAUUAAAAGACUAAAUUACCUUAGGGAUAACAGCGUAAUCUUUUCUGAGAGUUCUAAUCGAAGUUGGGGAUUGCGACCUCGAUGUUGGAUUAAGGAUCAGACUUAGGUGUAGUAGCUUGAGAUCUGGGUCUGUUCGACCUUUAAAUUCUUACAUGAUCUGAGUUCAAACCGGCGUGAGCCAGGUUGGUUUCUAUCUAUUAGCAUCAAAAUAUUUUAGUACGAAAGGACCAGAUAUUUAAAAUAAUUUUUAACUUAGAAUUCCAUUAAUGGCUAUUUUGGCAGAUAAGUGUAAUGGAUUUAGAAUCUAUAAAUGUAUAUUGUUAAUACAU
rnacentral:rRNA from 1 species